rnacentral:rRNA from 1 species
CCUACGGGAGGCAGCAGUAGGGAAUAUUGGUCAAUGGAUGCAAGUCUGAACCAGCCAUGCCGCGUGCAGGAAGAAGGCCUUCUGGGUUGUAAACUGCUUUUGCCAGGGGAUAAAAUGGGCGUGCGCGCUUAAUUGAAGGUACCUGGUGAAUAAGCCACGGCUAACUACGUGCCAGCAGCCGCGGUAAUACGUAGGUGGCAAGCGUUGUCCGGAUUUAUUGGGUUUAAAGGGUGCGUAGGCGGUUCUUUAAGUCAGUGCUGAAAUACUCCAGCUUAACUGGAGGGGUGGCAUUGAUACUGGGGAACUUGAAUGAAGUCGAGGUAGGCGGAAUUGACGGUGUAGCGGUGAAAUGCUUAGAUAUCGUCAAGAACACCGAUAGUGAAGACAGCUUACUAGGCUCAUAUUGACGCUGAGGCACGAAAGUGUGGGGAUCAAACAGGAUUAGAUACCCUGGUAGUCCACACUGUAAACGUUGAUAACUCGCUGUUGGCGAUAUACAGCCAGCGGCUUAGCGCAAGCGAUAAGUUAUCCACCUGGGGAGUACGCCGGCAACGGUGAAACUCAAAGGAACUGACGGGGGUCCGCACAAGCGGUGGAGCAUGUGGUUUAAUUCGAAGCAACGCGAAGAACCUUACCUGGGUUUGACAUCCUGGUGAAAGCCUCAUGAAAGUGGGGCCCUCCUUCGGGACACCAGGACAGGUGCUGCAUGGCUGUCGUCAGCUCGUGUCGUGAGAUGUUGGGUUAAGUCCCGCAACGAGCGCAACCCUUGCCCCGUGUUACUAACAGGUAAUGCUGAGGACUCUCGGGGGACUGCCGGCGUCAAGCCGGAGGAAGGUGGGGACGACGUCAAGUCAUCAUGGCCCUUACGCCCAGGGCUACACACGUGCUACAAUGGCCAGGACAGAGGGCAGCAAGACGCACGUGGAGCGAAUCCCAGUAACCUGGUCCAAGUUCGGAUUGCGGCUGCAACUCGCCCGCAUGAAGCCGAAUCGCUAGUAUCGCGAUCAGCUACGCCGCGGUGAAUACGUUCCCGGG